AACGAACGCUGGCGGCAGGCUUAACACAUGCAAGUCGAACGCCACCUUCGGGUGGAGUGGCAGACGGGUGAGUAACGCGUGGGAACAUACCUUUUGGUUCGGAAUAUUCCCGGGAAACUGGGAGCAAUACCGGAUAAGCCCUUCGGGGGAAAGAUUGAUCGCCAAAAGAUUGGCCCGCGUUAGAUUAGGUAGUUGGUAGGGUAAAGGCCUACCAAGGCUACGAUCGAUAGCUGGUCUGAGAGGAUGAUCAGCCACAUUGGGACUGAGACACGGCCCAAACUCCUGCCGGAGGGAGCAAUGGGGAAUAUUGGACAAUGGGCGCAAGCAGGAUCCAGUCAGGCCGCGUGAAUGAUGAAGGCCUUAGGGUGGUAAAAUUCUUUCAACGGGGACGAUAAUGACGGUACCCGUAGAAGAAGCCCCGGCUAACUUCGUGCCAGCCGCCGCCGUAA
rnacentral:rRNA from 1 species